rnacentral:rRNA from 1 species
CCUACGGGGGGCAGCAGUGGGGAAUAUUGGACAAUGGGCGAAAGCCUGAUCCAGCCAUGCCGCGUGUGUGAAGAAGGCCUUCGGGUUGUAAAGCACUUUCAGUGGGGAAGAAAGCCUUGGGGCUAAUACCCUCGAGGAAGGACAUCACCCACAGAAGAAGCACCGGCUAACUCCGUGCCAGCAGCCGCGGUAAUACGGAGGGUGCGAGCGUUAAUCGGAAUUACUGGGCGUAAAGCGCGCGUAGGCGGUCUGAUAAGCCGGUUGUGAAAGCCCCGGGCUCAACCUGGGAACGGCAUCCGGAACUGUCAGGCUAGAGUGCAGGAGAGGAAGGUAGAAUUCCCGGUGUAGCGGUGAAAUGCGUAGAGAUCGGGAGGAAUACCAGUGGCGAAGGCGGCCUUCUGGACUGACACUGACGCUGAGGUGCGAAAGCGUGGGUAGCAAACAGGAUUAGAUACCCGUGAGUC